GAUGAACGCUAGCGGCAGGCUUAAUACAUGCAAGUCGAGGGGCAGCGCAGAUAGCAAUAUUGGGUGGCGACCGGCAAACGGGUGCGGAACACGUACACAACCUUCCUUUUGGUGGGGGAUAGCCUUUGGAAACGGAGAUUAAUACCCCAUAAGAUAUUGGGACCGCAUGGUUUUGAUAUUAAAGAUUUAUUGCCAGAAGAUGGGUGUGCGUAUGAUUAGGUAGUUGGUGAGGUAAAGGCUCACCAAGCCGACGAUCAUUAACUGGUGUGAGAGCACGACCAGUCACACGGGCACUGAGACACGGGCCCGACUCCUACGGGAGGCAGCAGUAAGGAAUAUUGGUCAAUGGACGGAAGUCUGAACCAGCCAUGCCGCGUGGAGGAUGAAGGUCCUCUGGAUUGUAAACUUCUUUUAUAUGGGGCGAAAAAGGGCCAUUCUUGGUCAACUGACGGUACCAUAUGAAUAAGCACCGGCUAACUCCGUGCCAGCCGCCGCUGUAAUAC
rnacentral:rRNA from 1 species